rnacentral:rRNA from 1 species
UACGGAGGGGGCUAGCGUUGUUCGGAAUUACUGGGCGUAAAGCGCGCGUAGGCGGACCUGCAAGUCGGGGGUGAAAUCCCGAGGCUCAACCUCGGAACUGCCUUCGAUACUGCGGGUCUCGAGUCCGGGAGAGGUGAGUGGAAUUCCUAGUGUAGAGGUGAAAUUCGUAGAUAUUAGGAAGAACACCAGUGGCGAAGGCGGCUCACUGGCCCGGUACUGACGCUGAGGCGCGAAAGCGUGGGGAGCAAACAGG